UAAAAACUGAGACAUCAUCAAUGGCAAGUAGUAGUUUAAAAUGGCAAAUAAAGUCUGAAGAUGAACCAGAAGGAUGCAUGAUGGGGUUGAUUCAUAUGUUCAGUUUCCGGCCGGGACAUGAGAAUUCAAGAAAUAAGCUUGCGAAACAUUUCGAUGAAAGGCGUAAAGUUGCUUAUGUAAGUGUUUGUUCAAGUUCUUUAGAAUUCAGAUUUAAACAUCAGGAACAACAUAAUGAGAGAGUUCCAUUCAAUUUGUCUCUCAAAAAAAUUAUAAAAAGUUUGAGACAUUCCAUUGGUGACAAUACAAUUAACAAAGAGUUCAAGACUAAUGAUGCCGAGAAGUUUAAGAGGAGAACACUUGGUUAUUUCAUAUAUGAAGAACCAUGUUUGGCAUGAUGAGAAUGAAACAAUGCCUUUGAAAAAGGUGUCGAAAACCUUGGCCGAUAUGUUCUCCUUGCAUGAAUGCAAAUCACCAGAAGAAGAAAGCAUACAGAUCAAAGAUAACCGAGAAUCAAGUGUCGAUGAAUCCCGGGUUUUUAAAAGGACUUCAUGAUGUUGACAAACAUGUAAGGUCUGUGUUGGAAGCAUCUGGUAUCAAUUACAAAUGAGAUUUCAGAUAGAUUGCGUCGAUCAUGUCAAAUUCUUGAGCCAAUUUUGUUCGAAGAAAUCGAAACUCUCAAAUAAGCCAUCAGGUGAACAGAAACUUCUUUUCGAUUGCAUCAAUGAAGUUCUUGUGGAGAUCCACGGCAUGCUGUUUCAUUGCUCGCCAAAUCCCCGGCCAAUAUCGAUAGGCGAAAACCUCAUUCAAAAAGUUUUUGAAGGCAUUGUUCCGCAUCUAAAGUUCGAAUUUCCGAGCACACUGGAGAAACUGAUAACAAGAGAUUUAGACAAAACUUGGCUGAACUUGACAUUUGAGAUUCAAAACAUUGUAUGUGAGCUAGAAGAUGAUAUUCUUGCAGCUCUAAUAGAUGAAUUCAUUAAUGUUAUAACUUUAGAUUAAUACACAAUUAUAUCAUCCUUCCAAGUACAA